rnacentral:rRNA from 1 species
AUGAAGACGAGCCGCAGCCCAGGGAUCCUGGUGAAGCUGCUGCACGAGGCGGCGGGGCACGUGGUGACGGUGGAGCUCAAGACCGGCGAGGUCUACCGGGGCUCCAUGAUCGAGUGUGAGUACAAUUGGAACUGCCAGAUCGAGAACAUCACCUUCACAGCAGAGGUGUCGCAGCUGGAGCACAUGUUCAUCAGGGGCAGCAAGGUCAGGUUCAUGAUCAUCCCCGACAUGCUCAAGAACGCAUCGAUGUUCAAGAGCCUCGAGGCUAGGAUAAGGUAUAUUGAUGCUUACUGUUUUUUUUCCGCUGGUGCGUCUAGGGCAAGGGGUCGGCCAUCGCCGCGGCCGGGGAGGGGGUUUGGGGGUUUUGGGGGGUUAAUUUAG